rnacentral:rRNA from 1 species
UACGGAGGGUGCAAGCGUUAUCCGGAAUUACUGGGUUUAAAGGGUGCGUAGGCGGCUUGAUAAGUCAGGUGUGAAAGCCUAUCGCUUAACGAUAGAAUAGACUUUGAUACUGUAAAGCUUGAAAGGGGUUGAGGUCAGCAGAAUGUGGCAUGUAGAGGUGAAAUGCAUAGAUAUGCCAUAGAACACCGAUUGCGAAGGCAGCUGGCUGGGCCUACUUUGACGCUGAGGCACGAAAGCGUGGGGAGCGAACAGG